CCAGGGCCUAAUGAAUUUUUUUUGUCUUUGCAGACUAUUGGGAAUAUUCUGGAAGUGCGCCAGGAUUGGUGAACGAAAGAGCCCCUACGUAGCUGUGUGCUGUGUGGUGAUGGCCUUCAGCAUUCUGUUUGUACAGUAGCAACUGGAGGUUGUCCCUUAGACCCUGCUACCAAACAGCAAAGCAUGGAAGAAAUUACAGCAGGAAAAAAUUGAGAAGCAUCAUCAGUUCUCCUCCCACAUGCUGGAUAGCCAGUCUCUUGGUGAUCAUAAUGUAACUAACUCCAGAAUGAUAUGUAGAUAAUAAUGUCACAUCAGUACUGAAACUCCUGAUGUAACUUAAAAAGAUGUCUGUUGUGUUUUUGAGUUCCACAAGAAUAUAUUUUGUACCAUGCAAUUGAAAAAGUUUUUAAUGUUUUUGUUUGAUAGACCUGUUUAAUUAAAUUUAACAACUAUACAUCUGGCAAUAGAACCACUCUUGUAAGAAUGAAGAACAUUAUAGAAUAUGUUUACUGAGUAUUUUCAGUUCUUAAUGUCUGAACAAUUCCUGUGAUGUUGUGAUAGGUAUGAUCACUUGUUUAAAAUGGAUCUCUUAAAUGUCUAAGUCACAUUCAGCUUCCAUUUUCUAAUCUUGUAGUUUCUUAAUCUAUCAAUAUUUCUGUUGUUAAGAUAAAAUAUAAAUAAGGAUGGGGAUCAUAAUUGUAGUGAAGUCUGACUAUCUGCUGAGGAUACACAAAUGUAGGAUUUGAAAACCAGAAUUAUUCUCUGUGUGUGUGUGUGUGUGUGUGUGUGUGUGUGUGUAUCUUUACAGAUCAAGCUCACAGGUGAAUCAUUCCCUAAUAUUUUUUUCUUUUCAAAAAGAUUCUAGUGGCUCUACUACUGUUCCUAAGGCAUUUAAUACAAGGCUGUUAAGUCAGCUGAGGGAAUAGUUAGCUUCUCAGUAGUCCAGAGAUAGGAAAGUUGUAUGUCCCCAUGUUCUAAAGGUUUU